rnacentral:rRNA from 1 species
AACGUAGGGGACAAGCGUUAUCCGGAUUUACUGGGCGUAAAGCGCCCGUAGGCGGCUUUGUAAGUUGGACGUGAAAGCUCCCGGCUUAACUGGGAGAGGCCGUUCAAAACUGUAGAGCUAGAGUGAGGCAGAGGAGUGCGGAAUUCCCGGUGUAGUGGUGGAAUGCGUAGAGAGUCGGGAGGAACAUCAGUGGCGAAGGCGGCCAUCUGGGACAACACUGACGCUGAGGCACGAAAGCGUGGGGAGCAAACAGG